rnacentral:rRNA from 1 species
GACGAACGCUGGCGGCGUGCCUAACACAUGCAAGUCGAACGGAAAGGCCCUGCUUUUGUGGGGUGCUCGAGUGGCGAACGGGGGAGUAACACGUGAGUAACCUGCCCUUGACUUUGGGAUAACUUCAGGAAACUGGGGCUAAUACCGGAUAGGAGCUCCUGCUGCAUGGUGGGGGUUGGAAAGUUUCGGCGGUUGGGGAUGGAAUGGCGGCUUAUCAGCUUGUUGGUGGGGUAGUGGCAUACCAAGGGUUUGACGGGUAGCCGGCCUGGGAGGGGAACCGGGCACAAUGGGACUGAGGUACGGCCCAGACGCCUACGUGAGGCAACGGUGGGAAGUAUUACACAGUGAGCGCGAGCCUGAGGCAACGACGCCGCGUGCGGAAUGACGGCCUUCGGGUUGUAAACCGCUUUCGCCUGUGACGAAGCGUGAGUGACGGUAAUUGGUAAAGAAGCACCGGCUAACUACGUG